rnacentral:tRNA from 1 species
GGGAGUGGGUAGCGUUCUGGUGACGCUCUUGGUCUUCAAAACCAAAGGGGCAGGCUAUAACCUGUCCGGUGGGUUCGAUUCCCAUGCACUCCCGCCA